rnacentral:rRNA from 1 species
AGAGUUUGAUCCUGGCUCAGGAUGAACGCUGGCGGCGUGCCUAACACAUGCAAGUCGAACGGAGUUCUUAAGGAAUGCGACUUCGGUCAAAUGACUUUUGAACUUAGUGGCGGACGGGUGAGUAACGCGUGAGCAACCUGCCUUUCAGAGGGGGAUAACAUUUGGAAACAGAUGCUAAUACCGCAUAAGAUUACAGUACCGCAUGAUACAGUGAUCAAAGGAGCAAUCCGCUGAAAGAUGGGCUCGCGUCCGAUUAGAUAGUUGGUGAGGUAACGGCUCACCAAGUCGACGAUCGGUAGCCGGACUGAGAGGUUGAACGGCCACAUUGGGACUGAGACACGGCCCAGACUCCUACGGGAGGCAGCAGUGGGGAAUAUUGCACAAUGGGCGAAAGCCUGAUGCAGCAACGCCGCGUGAGGGAAGACGGUUUUCGGAUUGUAAACCUCUGUUUUCGGUGACGAAUAAAUGACGGUAACCGAGUAGGAAGCCACGGCUAACUACGUGCCAGCAGCCGCGGUAAUACGUAGGUGGCAAGCGUUAUCCGGAAUUACUGGGUGUAAAGGGAGCGCAGGCGGGAUAGCAAGUCAGUUGUGAAAACUAUGGGCUCAACCCAUAGAUUGCAGUUGAAACUGUUAUUCUUGAGUGGAGUAGAGGCAAGCGGAAUUCCGAGUGUAGCGGUGAAAUGCGUAGAUAUUCGGAGGAACACCAGUGGCGAAGGCGGCUUGCUGGGCUCUAACUGACGCUGAGGCUCGAAAGUGUGGGGAGCAAACAGGAUUAGAUACCCUGGUAGUCCACACUGUAAACG